rnacentral:sRNA from 1 species
GCCAGGCAUGGUGGCGCACGCCUGUAAUCCCAGCAGCUCGGGAGGCUGAGGCAGGAAGAUUGCAGGUUCAAAGCCAGCCGCAGCAAGUGCGAGGCACUAAGCAACUCAGUGAGACCCCAUCUCUA